AUGCAGUCGAGCGGUAAGGCCUUUCGGGGUACACGAGCGGCGAACGGGUGAGUAACACGUGGGUGAUCUGCCCUGCACUUCGGGAUAAGCCUGGGAAACUGGGUCUAAUACCGGAUAUGACCUCCUAUCGCAUGGUGGGUGGUGGAAAGAUUUAUCGGUGCAGGAUGGGCCCGCGGCCUAUCAGCUUGUUGGUGGGGUAAUGGCCUACCAAGGCGACGACGGGUAGCCGACCUGAGAGGGUGACCGGCCACACUGGGACUGAGACACGGCCCAGACUCCUACGGGAGGCAGCAGUGGGGAAUAUUGCACAAUGGGCGAAAGCCUGAUGCAGCGACGCCGCGUGAGGGAUGACGGCCUUCGGGUUGUAAACCUCUUUCAGCAGGGACGAAGCGCAAGUGACGGUACCUGCAGAAGAAGCACCGGCUAACUACGUGCCAGCAGCCGCGGUAAUACGUAGGGUGCAAGCGUUGUCCGGAAUUACUGGGCGUAAAGAGUUCGUAGGCGGUUUGUCGCGUCGUUUGUGAAAACCAGCAGCUCAACUGCUGGCUUGCAGGCGAUACGGGCAGACUUGAGUACUGCAGGGGAGACUGGAAUUCCUGGUGUAGCGGUGAAAUGCGCAGAUAUCAGGAGGAACACCGGUGGCGAAGGCGGGUCUCUGGGCAGUAACUGACGCUGAGGAACGAAAGCGUGGGUAGCGAACA
rnacentral:rRNA from 1 species